UACGUAGGGAGCAAGCGUUGUCCGGAUUUACUGGGUGUAAAGGGUGCGUAGGCGGCCCUGCAAGUCAGAAGUGAAAUCCAUGGGCUUAACCCGUGAACUGCUUUUGAAACUGUAGGGCUUGAGUGAAGUAGAGGCAGGCGGAAUUCCCGGUGUAGCGGUGAAAUGCGUAGAGAUCGGGAGGAACACCAGUGGCGAAGGCGGCCUGCUGGGCUUUAACUGACGCUGAAGCACGAAAGCGUGGGUAGCAAACAGG
rnacentral:rRNA from 1 species